rnacentral:rRNA from 1 species
AUUGAACGCUGGCGGCAGGCCUAACACAUGCAAGUCGAACGAGUGGCGGACGGGUGAGUAAUGUCUGGGAAACUGCCUGAUGGAGGGGGAUAACUACUGGAAACGGUAGCUAAUACCGCAUACCCUCGGAUUUUCCCAGAUGGGAUUAGCUAGUAGGUGGGGUAACGGCUCCCCUAGGCGACGAUCCCUAGCUGGUCUGAGAGGAUGACCAGACAGACUGGAACUGAGACACGGCCCAGACUCCUACGGGAGGCAGCAGUGGGGAAUAUUGCACAAUGGGCGCAAGCCUGAUGCAGCCAUGCCGCGUGUAUGAAGAAGGCCUUCGGGUUGUAAAGUACUUUCAGCGGGGAGGCGUUACCCGCAGAAGAAGCACCGGAUAACGAGGUGCCAGCAGCCGCGGUAAUUC